GGUCUAACCUGCCCAAUGAGGAUUUAAAUGGCCGCAGUAUUUUGACUGUGCAAAGGUAGCAUAAUUAUUAGUUUUUUAAUUGAAAGCUUGUAUGAAGGGUUGGACGAGAUAAAAUCUGUCUUUAUUUAAAUUAAAAUAGAAUUUAACUUUUAAGUCAAAAGGCUUAAAUACUAGUAAAAGACGAGAAGACCCUAUAGAUCUUUAUUUAAUUAAUAUUUUAAUAAUUUAGGAUUAUUUUAAUUUAAAAUUUUAAUUGAAUUUUAUUGGGGUAAUAUAAAGAUUAAAAAAAUUCUUUUUAUUUAUUACAUUAAUUUAUGAAUUUAUGAUCCAAUAUUAUUGAUUAAAAGAUUAAGUUACCUUAGGGAUAACAGCGUAAUUUUUUUGGAGAGCUCAUAUCGAUAAAAAAGUUUGCGACCUCGAUGUUGGAUUAAAAAUUAGCUUGGGUGCAGAAGUUCAAGAUUUUGGUCUGUUCGACCAUUAAAUUUUUACAUGAUCUGAGUUCAGACCGGCGUAAGCCAGGUCGGUUUCUAUCUUUAUUAAAAUAAAAUAUUUUAGUACGAAAGGACCAAAUAUUUAAUAUAUUUAUAUUUAUUUUUUGAAUAAUAUUAUUACUUUGGCAGAAUAGUGCGAUGAAUUUAGAAUUCAUACAUGUAAUUUUUUUACAAGUAAUACUUGUAUUUAGGAGAUUUAUUGAUAAUAGUUUUAUGUAUAUUAAUUCUUAUUAUUUGUGUAUUAGUUGGGGUGGCUUUUUUAACUUUACUAGACCGAAAGGUAUUGGGUUAUAUUCARAUUCGU
rnacentral:rRNA from 1 species